GCAGCGCGGGAGCAAUCCUGGCGGCGAGUGGCGAACGGGUGAGUAAUACAUCGGAACGUGCCCAAUCGUGGGGGAUAACGCAGCGAAAGCUGUGCUAAUACCGCAUACGAUCUACGGAUGAAAGCAGGGGAUCGCAAGACCUUGCGCGAAUGGAGCGGCCGAUGGCAGAUUAGGUAGUUGGUGAGGUAAAGGCUCACCAAGCCUUCGAUCUGUAGCUGGUCUGAGAGGACGACCAGCCACACUGGGACUGAGACACGGCCCAGACUCCUACGGGAGGCAGCAGUGGGGAAUUUUGGACAAUGGGCGAAAGCCUGAUCCAGCCAUGCCGCGUGCAGGAUGAAGGCCUUCGGGUUGUAAACUGCUUUUGUACGGAACGAAACGGCCUUUUCUAAUAAAGAGGGCUAAUGACGGUACCGUAAGAAUAAGCACCGGCUAACUACGUGCCAGCAGCCGCGGUAAUACGUAGGGUGCAAGCGUUAAUCGGAAUUACUGGGCGUAAAGCGUGCGCACGCGGUAAUGUAAGACAGUUGUGAAAUCCCCGGGCUCAACCUGGGAACUGCAUCUGUGACUGCAUUGCUGGAGUACGGUAGAGGGGGAUGGAAUUCCGCGUGUAGCAGUGAAAUGCGUAGAUAUGCGGAGGACACCGAUGGCGAGGCAUCCCCUGGACCUGUACUGACGCUCAUGCACGAAAGCGUGGGGAGCAAACAGGAUAAGAUACCCUGGUAGUCCACGCCCUAAACGAUG
rnacentral:rRNA from 1 species